ACAUUGUUACAGAGCAAUGGAUUCAAAUUCAGCGGCUUGGGCAGGCUCUUCAAAUUACACAAGUUUUUUCUGCUUGAAACUGGCUUCAGAACCAAAGGCUCCUCUUGGUUAGCAGAAUUCAAAGGAAUAUGGUUCCAGUGGCCAUCUAGUAGAUGCAACUUUACCUGCUACUAAAGUCAAAUAAUCAGAACUGAGUAUAAGGAAUGAUGAAACUGGACGUUUGAGCAUUCACACACAGACACAAAAGAAGACCACCGAUACGGAUAUCUGCAGAUCACGAAAGUCAGCAUUGUCCAUUUAGUACUACAGCCCUAAAGAUGAGUGGUAAAAUUCUAUCAUAUAGAAGGUUUAACAUAAUUUGUGAUAGGAGAAAGUUCAAGGUCAUUAAAAGUAAAUGAAACGCAGAUUGCAGAUUGGGUGUGUCCAAGACCCCAUGAAGAAUUCCUUGCUAAAUUUUAGAGCCCUCAAUGCAAAG